rnacentral:lncRNA from 1 species
UGCUAAACAAAAUCGUAGUACUCUGGAAACUUUCCCGUUGGGUUUCGCUUUGACAUUUUUAAGUGUAACCAUGUCACCAAUUUAUUUACUCUUGCUUAGUUUUUCAGCCUCGGGCAAAAAGUUGAAAAUUACUGUUUCCCUCAAGUUUUUCCCGUGAAGUGCCAAUCGUUAAACCGACGUCGGAACCUCGCUAGGAGCGGCCACCCGAUUGGUCAUCCGAAACUCCAAAGUGACCUGAAAGUACAACGAAUCGAGCUGUAGGAGGAUAACAGGAACAAGCAGCACAAUGAUUACAUCUCGGACAAGCUUGUCUAGACUAAAAGUUCGGGGCCAUCCUCCAAGAUAUUGAAUAAAGACUAGCAUGAUUUUCAGUAUCAACAA